UUCACGUGCCAUCACGUGACUUUUAUUUGCGACUCUACGAGGCCCCCCCUACUCUCUCCCUCUUCACUCGCUCUCCAUCUCCAAGGUCGACUGUAGCGGUUAAUUUGGAUGGUGUCGAAUGGGUGUGAAUUGAAUGUUGCGAGUUAAUCAAAGGAAUAAAUGUGAGUUAGGGUUUUCAUCGACUAUGUAUAUUCAGAAUAGUUGAAAGUAUACGAAGGAUUUAAUGAAUGAGAUGGUUGAGUUGGGAUUUUUUUCCCGAGUGAGCCCGGUGAUUCGGCAUUGACGACCAUUUUCAAGAGGCUAUUCAUCGGUGAUUUAGGUACUGUGGAUGAUUUUUGUUUCUGUUAACUGACUGAUAUGUGGAUUUAUUAAUGGUUUAAUUCUACUUUGUUAUAA